rnacentral:rRNA from 2 species
UAACGAUACGGGACUCAUCCGAGGCCCCGUAAUCGGAAUGAGUACACUUUAAAUCCUUUAACGAGGACCCAUUGGAGGGCAAGUCUGGUGCCAGCAGCCGCGGUAAUUCCAGCUCCAAUAGCGUAUAUUAAAGUUGUUGCGGUUAAAAAGCUCGUAGUUGAAUCUGUGUGCCACGCUGUCGGUUCAUCGCUCGCGAUGUUUAACUGACAUGAUUGUGGGACGUCCUACCGGUGGGCUUAGCUCCUCACGGGGCGGUCCAGCUAAUAACCCAUCCCGGUGCUCUUUACCGAGUGUCGUGGUGGGCCGGUACGUUUACUUUGAACAAAUUAGAGUGCUCAAAGCAGGCUAUGUUCGCCUGAAUAUUCGUGCAUGGAAUAAUGGAAUAGGACCUCGGUUCUAUUUUGUUGGUUUUCGGAACCCCGAGGUAAUGAUUAAUAGGGACAGAUGGGGGCAUUCGUAUUGCGACGUUAGAGGUGAAAUUCUUGGAUCGUCGCAAGACGGACAGAAGCGAAAGCAUUUGCCAAAAAUGUUUUCAUUAAUCAAGAACGAAAGUUAGAGGUUCGAAGGCGAUCAGAUACCGCCCUAGUUCUAACCAUAAACGAUGCCAGCUAGCGAUCCGCCGAAGUUCCUCCGAUGACUCGGCGGGCAGCUUCCGGGAAACCAAAGCUUUUGGGUUCCGGGGGAAGUAUGGUUGCAAAGCUGAAACUUAAAGGAAUUGACGGAAGGGCACCACCAGGAGUGGAGCCUGCGGCUUAAUUUGACUCAACAC